UCAGCCAAAUAGCAAGAUACCAUGUCUGGCUGCUGUGCUCCAUGUUGGUCAGUAGAUGGCAGAGAGAAGAGAGGCUAUGUCUAUGGCCAGUGUUCUGACCAAUGAACAUCUGAAUGAUUAGUAGCCUAACAUU